rnacentral:rRNA from 1 species
CCUACGGGCGGCUGCAGUGGGGAAUAUUGCACAAUGGGGGAAACCCUGAUGCAGCGACGCCGCGUGAGUGAUGACGUCCCUAGUUAUGUAAAGCUCUAUCAGCAGGGAAGCAAAUGACGGUACCUGUGUAAGAAGCCCCGGUUCACUACGUGAAAGCAGCCGCGGUAAUACGUAGGGGGCAAGCGUUAUUCGGAUUUACUGGGUGGAAAGGGAGCGUUGUCGGCAGUGCAAGUCUGGAGUGAAAGGCGGGGGUUCAACCCCCGGACUGCUCUGGAAACUGUACGUCUGGAGUGCAGGAGAGGUAAGUGGAAUGCCUAGUGUAGCGGUGAAAUGCGUAGAUAUUAGGAGGAACACCGGUUGCGAAGGCGGCUUACUGGACUGUAACUGACGUUGAGGCUCGAAAGCGUGGGGAGCGAACAGGAUUAGAUACCCUGGUAGUC